rnacentral:rRNA from 1 species
UACGUAGGGGGCUAGCGUUGUCCGGAAUCAUUGGGCGUAAAGCGCGUGUAGGCGGCCCGAUAAGUCCGCUGUGAAAGUCCAGGGCUCAACCCUGGGAUGCCGGUGGAUACUGUCGGGCUCGAGUCCGGAAGAGGCGAGUGGAAUUCCUGAUGUAGCGGUGAAAUGCGCAGAUAUCAGGAGGAACACCAAUGGCGAAGGCAGCUCGCUGGGACGUGACUGACGCUGAGACGCGAAAGCGUGGGGAGCAAACAGG